AUGAACGCUGGCUGUGUGGAUAAGGCAUGCAAGUCGAGUGGGUUUAGACCCACGGCGAACGAGGUAGUAACACGUAGGAACGUACCCCAAAGUUUGGCAUAACCCAUCGAAAGGUGGGAUAAUUCCAAAUGGUCCCUGAGACGCAAGUCGAAGGGUAAAGAUUUAUCGCUUUGGGAACGGCCUGCGUAGUAUCAGCUUGUUGGUAGUGUAAUAGACUACCAAGGCUAUGACGCUUAGGGGAGGUGAGAGCCUGACCCCCACCGAUGGAACUGAGACACGGUCCAUACUCCUACGGGAGGCCGCAGCCGAGAAUAUUCCGCAAUGGGCGAAAGCCUGACGGAGCGACACAGCGUGAUUGAUGAAGUCCUUCGGGACGUAAAGGUCUUUUAUGAGUGAAGAAGUUUAUUGACAUUAGCUCAUGAAUAAGGGGUUGCUAAACUCGU
rnacentral:rRNA from 1 species